GACGAACGCUGGCGGCGUGCCUAAUACAUGCAAGUAGAACGCUGAAGGGAGAGCUUGCUCUUCUGGAUGAGUUGCGAACGGGUGAGUAACGCGUAGGUAACCUGCCUGGUAGCGGGGGAUAACUAUUGGAAACGAUAGCUAAUACCGCAUAACAGCAAAUGUUGCAUGACAUUUGCUUAAAAGGUGCAAUUGCAUCACUACCAGAUGGACCUGCGUUGUAUUAGCUAGUUGGUGGGGUAACGGCUCACCAAGGCGACGAUACAUAGCCGACCUGAGAGGGUGAUCGGCCACACUGGGACUGAGACACGGCCCAGACUCCUACGGGAGGCAGCAGUAGGGAAUCUUCGGCAAUGGACGGAAGUCUGACCGAGCGACGCCGCGUGAGUGAAGAAGGUUUUCGGAUCGUAAAGCUCUGUUGUAAGAGAAGAACGAGUGUGAGAGUGGAAAGUUCACACUGUGACGGUAUCUUACCAGAAAGGGACGGCUAACUACGUGCCAGCCGCCGCGGUAA
rnacentral:rRNA from 1 species